CUAGGCCAUGUAACUAAGAGACAUACGCUUAUAAAGAAGUGGGUCCCAACCACAUCCAUCCAUAUGAACUAGGUGAUGAUGGACUACUCCUCAAAGAGAGAAGAUUUCAUUCAGCUGUGUCUAACUGGUUGCUUAGAAGUUGGAAAAAAUACAAAUGCAGAGAAAUGAAAUCUGAAAACUGAGGCCAGGAGAGAUAAUCUGUCUUUUCCAAAGAUUCACAAUACAUUAUUUACAAAGCUGAAAUCAGAGACCAAAUUUGGGUAGUCCCAGGUCACAGAAAAGGACCCAGAGGAAGGCGAAAUAUUAGAUGACAUAGACCUCUAAUUUUGUAGAGAAAAACAAAACAAACAAACAAACAAAAAAAAAAAAAAAAAAACUUGCCAUCCAAAUAAGUGAAGUGACUUGAUCUGGAACCUGCAUAUAUGAAGAGCAUAAUUCGGAUUGAAACCAGAUUUCCUGAUGAUAGACCAACUGCUAUUUCCAUUAAGCCAUGUUUACUGUCUCUCCUAAGCAUAUGAAGUAAAUGGUUCAAGGGUUGUCAAGCUUCACCAUUAAUUGGCCAGACUGACGAUAAUGAGUUCCUCCCUACUUGCUGUGGCCGAUCCUCAGAAAAGUGAUUCAGUCUAUUGUGGAGACCACAGUUGAAUUCUUCCCAGCUUGACAUAUGCCGCCAACUUUUGUCAUCCAUUGACAAGGCCUUUGAUAUUCCAGGGUCACCUUCGUACCGUGAAGAGAUUUCAUAAUACUGCUUUGUGGAAAAAAAUUCAAGGUGAUGUAAAAAGUGAAUGGAAGAACUGGUGACAGGAGCAAUUUGAGAAAGGAAGACACCAAUCAGAGAGACGUCCUGGAGUUACCAAGUCUUCCUGAAGCAGCAAGAUGAUUCAUGGACUUGACCAAACAGCUUGAAAUCAGAAAGAGCUGAGUAUAAAUUCUAUGUAGUUAUGUGACCUUAGGAAAGUUAGUUAAACUGUAUCUGACUCAGUUUCCUUAGAUGUAUAAUGGAGAUAAUAGUGUCUACUUCCUGGGAUUGUUGUGAGGAUCAAAUGGAAUAUUUAUAGUUCGUAGCAUGAACUAACUAUU